rnacentral:rRNA from 1 species
UACUCGAGUGGCGAACGGGUGAGUAACACGUGGGUGAUCUGCCCUGCACUUCGGGAUAAGCUUGGGAAACUGGGUCUAAUACCGGAUAGGAGCCAUCUUUAGUGUGGUGGUUGGAAAGUUUUUUCGGUGUAGGAUGAGCUCGCGGCCUAUCAGCUUGUUGGUUGGGUAAUGGCCUACCAAGGCGGCGACGGGUAGCCGGCCUGAGAGGGUGUACGGCCACAUUGGGACUGAGAUACGGCCCAG